rnacentral:rRNA from 1 species
GAUGAACGCUAGCGGCAGGCCUAACACAUGCAAGUCGAGGGGCAGCACAGAAACAGCAAUGUUUUGGUGGCGACCGGCGGACGGGUGCGUAACGCGUAUGCAACCUACCUUUAACAGGGGGAUAACGGAGAGAAAUUUCCACUAAUACCCCAUAACAUCGAUCAAGGCAUCUUGCUUGGUUGAAAACUCCGGUGGAUAAAGAUGGGCAUGCAUUGUAUUAGGUAGCUGGUUAGGUAAUGGCUCACCAAGCCUACGAUACAUAGGGGAACUGUGAGGUUAGCCACACACACUGGUACUGAGACACGGACCAGCCUCCUACGGGAGGCAGCAGUGAGGAAUAUUGGUCAAUGGGGGCAACCCUGAACCAGCCAUGCCGCGUGCAGGAAGACGGCUCUAUGAGUUGUAAACUGCUUUUAAUCAGGGAUAAAGCACAGUAUGUAUACUGUGUUGAAGGUACUGUAAGAAUAAGGAUCGGCUAACUCCGUGCCAGCCGCCGCGGUAA